rnacentral:piRNA from 1 species
UGAGGAAACUUUAUUUGAGUUGCACUCUUGC